rnacentral:rRNA from 1 species
AACGAACGCUGGCGGCGCGCCUAAUACAUGCAAGUCGAGCGAGAAGGUGUAGCAAUACACUUGUAAAGCGGCGAACGGGUGAGGAAUGCAUGGGUAACCUACCCUCGAGUGGGGAAUAACUAGCCGAAAGGUUAGCUAAUACCGCAUACGUUUCCGGAACCUCGGUUUCGGAAGGAAAGCAAUACCGUGGGUAUUGCGCUCAUGGAUGGGCUCAUGUCCUAUCAGCUUGUUGGUGAGGUAACGGCUCACCAAGGCUUCGACGGGUAGCUGGUCUGAGAGGACGAUCAGCCACACUGGCACUGCGACACGGGCCAGACUCCUACGGGAGGCAGCAGUAAGGAAUAUUGCGCAAUGGACGAAAGUCUGACGCAGCGACGCCGCGUGGGGGAUGAAGGUCUUCGGAUUGUAAACCCCUUUCGGGAGGGAGAUGGAGUGGGUAACCACUUGGACGGUACCUCCAGAAGCAGCCACGGCUAACUUCGUGCCAGCAGCCGCGGU